rnacentral:rRNA from 1 species
AUUGAACGCUGGCGGCAGGCCUACCACAUGCAAGUCGAACGAGUGGCGGACGGGUGAGUAAUGCAUAGGAAUCUACCUUUUAGUCUAGGAUAACUACCCGAAAGGGUGGCUAAUACUGGAUGCUAAGAGCUGAGCCUAUGUGGGAUUAGUGAGUUGGGGGGGUAAUGGCUCACCAAGGCGAAGAUCUCUAGCUUGUUUGAGAGGAUGAUCAGCCACACUUGGACUUGGACACGGCCCAGACUCCUCCGUGAGGCAGCAGUGGGGAAGAUUUCACAAUGGGCGCAAACCUGAUGCAGCCAUGCCGCGUGUAUGAAGAAGGCCUUAGGGUUUUAAAGUACUUUCAGCGUGGAGGCGUUACCCGCAGAAGAAGCACCGGCUAACUCCGUGCCAGCAGCCGCGGUAAUAC